AUGAACGCUGGCGGCGUGCCUAAUACAUGCAAGUCGAGCGAACGGACGAGAAGCUUGCUUUUCUGAUGUUAGCGGCGGACGGGUGAGUAACACGUGGAUAACCUACCUAUAAGUCUGGGAUAACUUCGGGAAACCGGAGCUAAUACCGGAUAAUAUUUUGAACCGCAUGGUUCAAAAGUGAAAGACGGUCUUGCUGUCACUUAUAGAUGGAUCCGCGCUGCAUUAGCUAGUUGGUAAGGUAACGGCUUACCAAGGCAACGAUGCAUAGCCGACCUGAGAGGGUGAUCGGCCACACUGGAACUGAGACACGGUCCAGACUCCUACGGGAGGCAGCAGUAGGGAAUCUUCCGCAAUGGGCGAAAGCCUGACGGAGCAACGCCGCGUGAGUGAUGAAGGUCUUCGGAUCGUAAAACUCUGUUAUUAGGGAAGAACAUAUGUGUAAGUAACUGUGCACAUCUUGACGGUACCUAAUCAGAAAGCCACGGCUAACUACGUG
rnacentral:rRNA from 1 species